AGUAAUGCUUGGGAAUCUGGCUUAUGGAGGGGGGUAACUACGGGAAACUGUAGCUAAUACCGCGUAGAAUCGGAAGAUGAAAGUGCGGGACCGCAAGGCCGCAUGCCAUGAGAUGAGCCCAAGUGGGAUUAGGUAGUUGGUGGGGUAAAGGCCUACCAAGCCUGCGAUCUCUAGCUGGUCUGAGAGGAUGGCCAGCCACACUGGAACUGAGACACGGUCCAG
rnacentral:rRNA from 1 species